UACGUAGGGUGCGAGCGUUGUCCGGAAUUAUUGGGCGUAAAGGGCUCGUAGGCGGACUGUCACGUCGAAAGUGAAAACUCAGGGCUUAACCCUGAGCCUGCUUCCGAUACGGGCAGACUAGAGGUAUGCAGGGGAGAAUGGAAUUCCUGGUGUAGCGGUGAAAUGCGCAGAUAUCAGGAGGAACACCAGUGGCGAAGGCGGUUCUCUGGGCAUUACCUGACGCUGAGGAGCGAAAGUGUGGGGAGCGAACAGG
rnacentral:rRNA from 1 species